AGAUUGAACGCUGGCGGCAUGCCUUACACAUGCAAGUCGAACGGCAGCACGGGGGCAACCCUGGUGGCGAGUGGCGAACGGGUGAGUAAUGCAUCGGAACGUGCCCAGUAGUGGGGGAUAACUAGUCGAAAGAUUAGCUAAUACCGCAUACGGCCUAUGGGUGAAAGCGGGGGAUUCGCAAGAACCUCGCGCUAUCGGAGCGGCCGAUGUCUGAUUAGCUAGUUGGCGGGUAAAAGCCCACCAAGGCUUCGAUCAGUAGCUGGUCUGAGAGGAUGAUCAGCCACACUGGGACUGAGACACGGCCCAGACUCCUACGGGAGGCAGCAGUGGGAAUUUUGGACAAUGGGGGAAACCUGGAUCCAGCCAUUCCGCGUGAGUGAAGAAGGCCUUCGGUUGUAAGUCUCUUUGUCCGGAACGAACGGUGACGUGAAUAUCGUACAUUACUGACGUACCGGAAG
rnacentral:rRNA from 1 species